rnacentral:rRNA from 1 species
AAUAGAUCCCGGGUAGUCCACGCCGUAAACGAUGAGUGCUAAGUGUUAGAGGGUUUCCGCCCUUUAGUGCUGCAGCUAACGCAUUAAGCACUCCGCCUGGGGAGUACGGCCGCAAGGCUGAAACUCAAAGGAAUUGACGGGGGCCCGCACAAGCGGUGGAGCAUGUGGUUUAAUUCGAAGCAACGCGAAGAACCUUACCAGGUCUUGACAUCCUCUGCCACUCCUAGAGAUAGGACGUUCCCCUUCGGGGGACAGAGUGACAGGUGGUGCAUGGUUGUUGUCAGCUCGUGUCGUGAGAUGUUGGGUUAAGUCCCGCAACGAGCGCAACCCUUGAUCUUAGUUGCCAGCAUUCAGUUGGGCACUCUAAGGUGACUGCCGGUGACAAACCGGAGGAAGGUGGGGAUGACGUCAAAUCAUCAUGCCCCUUAUGACCUGGGCUACACACGUGCUACAAUGGAUGGUACAAAGAGCUGCGAACCCGCGAGGGUAAGCCAAUCUCAUAAAGCCAUUCUCAGUUCGGAUUGUAGG